rnacentral:lncRNA from 1 species
GUGCAGCCCAGUUCAAACUGGGAGCAUCCCAUGUCCUUCCCAGUACAGACUGGGAGCAUCCCCAUGUCCAUCCCAGUACAGACUGGGGACAUCCCCAUGUCCAUCCCAGUACAAACUGGGAGCAUCGCCAUGUGCAGCCCAGUUCAUACUGGGAGCAUCACCAUGUCCUUCCCAGUACAAACUGGGAGCAUCACCCAGUCCAUCCCAGUUCAUACUGGGAGCAUCCUCAUGUGCAGCCCAGUGCAAACUGGGAGCAUCACCCAGUCCAUCCCAGUUCAUACUGGGAGCAUCCCCAUGUCCAUCCCAGUACAAACUGGGAGCAUCCCAAUGUCCAUCCCAGUUCAAACUGGGAGCAUCACCCAGUUCAUCCCAGUACAAACUGGGGGCAUCCCAUGUCCACCCCAGUUCAUACUGGGAGCAUCCCAGUGUCCAUCCCAGUACAGACUGGGAGCUGGGAGCAUUCCCAUGUCCAUUCCAGUUCAAACUGGGAGCAUCCCAAUGUCCAUCCCAGUUCAAACUGGGAGCAUCCCAAUGUCCAUCCCAGUUCAAACUGGGAGCAUCCUCAUGUGCAGCCCAGUACAAACUGGGAGCAUCCCCAUGUGCAGCCCAGUGCAAACUGGGAGCAUCCCAUGUCCAUCCCAGUUCAAACUGGGAGCAUCACCAUGUGCAGCCCAGUACAAACUGGGAGCAUCCCAUGUCCACCCCAGUUCAUACUGGGAGCAUCCCAGUGUCCAUCCCAGUACAAACUGGGAGCAUCCCCAUGUCCAUCCCAGUUCAAACUGGGAGCAUCACCAUGUGCAUCCCAGUUCAUACUGGGGGCAUCCCAAUGUCCAUCCCAGUACAGACUGGGAGCAUCCCCACGUCCAUCCCAGUACAGCCUGUGGUCUGGGAGCAUCCCCCAUUUGCAUCACAACCCACUGCAGGUCGGCUCAUUUCCAGGCACGCAGCACAGCGAGGCAGCAGCACCACCUAGCGGGGAGCAGCACCACGCUGCAUGCAUCCCAUAAUACCACUCUGCACCACUGCUGCACUGCUGGGACGGAUGCAUCCCAUAACCCCACCCUGCAUUCACACUGCGGUGGUGGGACACAUCCCAUAAUACCACCUUGCACAUCCCAUAAUCCCACCCUGCAUUCACACUGCAGUGCUGCAACACAUCCCAUAAUACCACCCCGCAUUCAUGGGACGCAUCCCAUAAUCCCACCCUGCAUUCACACUGCAGUUCUGGGACGCAUCCCAUAAUCCCAC